UACGUAGGGGGCAAGCGUUAUCCGGAUUUACUGGGUGUAAAGGGAGCGUAGACGGCGGGGCAAGUCUGGAGUGAAAGGCCGGGGCCCAACCCCGGGACUGCUCUGGAAACUAUUGAACUUGAGUGCAGGAGAGGUAAGCGGAAUUCCUAGUGUAGCGGUGAAAUGCGUAGAUAUUAGGAGGAACAUCAGUGGCGAAGGCGACUUUCUGGACUGUAACUGACGCUGAGGCACGAAAGUGUGGGGAGCAAACAGG
rnacentral:rRNA from 1 species